UUUAACUUCUCUAAAAACCCUAACUUGGGGAUUUUUUUUCUUCAAACAUUAAUUAAAUAUCAAUCUCUUGAAUCUCGUUCUUUUGUAUGGAUAUAUGUUUUAGGAUUACUGACGCUCCAUGGAAUUUAUUUUUAAAGGUUCAUCAAUUUCCCUCUUUUUUCUAUGACAUAAGAUUUUCAAUUGAAGACAAGGCACUUCAUCUUUCCUUCGGAAGAAGAAUAACACGGUAAUUUUAUCUUCCCCUCUCCCAAUUGUUAAUUUUAUUUUUGUAAGAACCCUAACUUGGGGGAUUUUUUUAUUCUUCUUAAAAUUGUAGUAAGUAUCAAUCUCAUAUAUAUCUCUUCUUUUUGUGGACAGUGGAUAUAUGAUUUAAGACUAGUGAUAUAUUCCAUGGAAUUUAUUUUUACUAAUUCACUAUUUUUUUUAUUGGUCUUGGUAUCUCUUUGAUGAGGUAAAUAUAAUCUUCCCA
rnacentral:lncRNA from 1 species